GUCUACGGCCAUGCUGCCCUGAACAAGCCUGAUCCCGUCUGAUCUCGGAAGCUAAGCAGGGUCGGGCCUGGUUAGUACUUGGAUGGGAGACCACCUAGGAAGACCAGGUGCUGUAGGCG
rnacentral:rRNA from 1 species